rnacentral:rRNA from 1 species
GUAGGUGGCAAGCGUUGUCCGGAAUUAUUGGGCGUAAAGCGCGCGCAGGCGGUCCUUUAAGUCUGAUGUGAAAGCCCACGGCUCAACCGUGGAGGGUCAUUGGAAACUGGGGGACUUGAGUACAGAAGAGGAAAGCGGAAUUCCAAGUGUAGCGGUGAAAUGCGUAGAGAUUUGGAGGAACACCAGUGGCGAAGGCGGCUUUCUGGUCUGUAACUGACGCUAAGGCGCGAAAGCGUGGGGAGCAAACAGGAUUAGAUACCCUGGUAGUCCACGCCGUAAACGAUGAGUGCUAAGUGUUAGGGGGUUUCCCGCCCCCUUAGUGCUGCAGCUAACGCAUUAAGCACUCCGCCUGGGGAGUACGGCCGCAAGGCUG